GACGAACGCUGGCGGCGUGCUUAACACAUGCAAGUCGAACGGUAAGGCCCUUCGGGGUACACGAGUGGCGAACGGGUGAGUAACACGUGGGUGAUCUGCCCUGCACUUCGGGAUAAGCCUGGGAAACUGGGUCUAAUACCGGAUAGGACCCUGGGAUGCAUGUCCUGGGGUGGAAAGCUUUUGCGGUGGGGGAUGGGCCCGCGGCCUAUCAGCUUGUUGGUGGGGUGAUGGCCUACCAAGGCGACGACGGGUAGCCGGCCUGAGGGGGUGACCGGGCACACUGGGAAUGGGAUACGGCGCAGACUCCUACGGGAGGCAGAAGUGGGGAAUAUUGCACAAUGGGCGCAAGCCUGAUGCAGCGACGCCGCGUGAGGGAUGACGGCCUUCGGGUUGUAAACCUCUUUCGGCACCGACGAAGCGCAAGUGACGGUAGGUGCAGAAGAAGGACCGGCCAACUACGUGCCAGCCGCCGCCGUAA
rnacentral:rRNA from 1 species